ACAUACGUUUGUUUGCCAAACACCAUUAAACAUCAGGGGAAGAAGAUUAGUUUCACCGCGCUCUCUCUUGUGUUGUGAAGCUGGCUUAAUACAAACGUUGUGACUAAGUUUUGAAGCAAGCAGGAAUAUCUGGAGGAGAAUCAGCUGAACUGAGAUCUGCUGCUGUGAAGAUGGUGUUUGUUAAAGAGGAGAGUGAGGAGAACAUGUGUGAACCACCAACCUUGGGAAUAAAACAGGAACCAGAAAUCGUGGAAAUAAAACACGAAGAACCAGAAGCCUGGAGAAUAAAACACGAGGAACAAGGAAGUUGGUCUGAUGAAAGUGAAAGAAGAACAACAUGAUCUGAAUGAGGUGGAAGAGAAAUAUCAGGAUCAGAAAUAUGAUGAAAAAUCAGUGAGUUGCAGUGUUCAAAAAACAGACGUCAAAAUGCCUUUCAGCUGCUCUCAGUGUGGAAAGAGAUUCACACGUAAGGAAAACCUUAAGAAUCACAUGUUAAUUCAUACUGGAGUAAAGCCUUUUACCUGCUCUCAUUGUGGAAAGGGUUUCACACAGAAAGUACACCUUAAGGAUCAUUUGGUAACUCACACUUCAGAAAAGCCUUUCAGCUGCUCUCUCUGUGGAAACGGUUUUGCACGUAAAACACACCUGAAGAACCACAUGUUAAUUCAUAAUGGAGUAAAGCCUUACAGCUGCUCUCAUUGUGGAAAGAGUUUUACACAGAAAGGAAACCUUAAUGAUCAUGUGGCUACUCACUCUUCAGAAAGGCCUUUCGUCUGCUCUCAGUGUGGAAAGUCUUUCAUAUGUAAAAGGUACCUUAACACUCACAUGUUAAUUCAUGCUGAAAAAAAGCCUUACAGCUGCUCUGAGUGUGGAAGGACUUUUGCACAGAAAGGACACCUUGAGUAUCAUUUGUCAACUUUUACCUGCUCUCACUGUGGAAAGAGUUUCAUAUGUAAAGGAAUCAUGAAGAAGCAUGUGUUAAGUCAUGCUGGGCAACAGCCUUUGAGCUGCUCAACAUAAUCAGCUGUUAAUAUUUUGUUGGUCCUCUCUUGUUUUUGCAUGUUUCUUUGUAUGACAGCAUGGCCAUAAAUUGACCGCACAGUUUCGCGUUUUUUCAUUGCAUUAUUAUCAGAAAUAAAACGACUGACUCCAAGCAAAUAUGCAAUAUGCUUACAAAAUCAGUAACACAUUUUUUUUUCCUCUUGGCCACAACUACAUGGCAGUUCAUUGACUUUCCAACCAGCGUUUCCAAGUCGGUGGGAACUGG